UUGCUUUGGCUGCACAUAUACUACAACUGGAAAGAUACAGGAAAGAUUAGCAUGGCCCUGCGCAAAGAUGAUUUGAAAAUUCCUGAAGUGUUCCAAGGGGGA